rnacentral:misc_RNA from 1 species
AAGUCGUAACAAGGUUUCCGUAGGUGAACCUGCGGAAGGAUCAUUAUAAAAUUUUCAUAUAUUAUUUAUUUAAUAUAUAAAAUUAUAUACAAAAUGUAUUCAAAACCCACACACUUUAUAACCAAAAAAAAAUAUAUAUAUUUUAAAUAUAUAUAUAAAAAAACAACUUUCAACAACGGAUCUCUUGGCUCUC